GCAACCUCAGCCCAGUAGGCUCAUCUUAAGGACAAGAGCGGCAAGAAGAAUCUGAGGAGGAGGAAGGUUUGAUCCUGGGGAUUUUGAAAGCAAUGAAACUCUGAGCCUGGCUGCACCAUCCUCGGGCUUGCCUUGAUGGUAACUUCCGGAGGAAACUUUGAAGAGAAGGGCGAUUCUGAGAAAAAUCCCCUGCACCCACUUUUACCACCCGGGUCACAGUUCUCUCAUUGUCCCUAGCAAACUGUCCCCGUGGCCUCUGUCCCGCCUAACACAGCUCAGUUGCGGGGUGGGUGCGAGGGGUGGGGACUAUAGUCUGUGAUGCUCCAUCAAGAGCAGCUAGCCUAGGAGGGAGUCUCUCCCCGCACUGCUUAGCACCGCGUCACUGCCUGGCUUCGCCCAAUAGCUGCUUAGCACUCUUUCAACGACACCCAGAAAUUCUGACGUACCCUCCCCCUCUCCUCCCGGGGACGAAGGCCUGGCUUGUGACGCCCGCUCCAAAAGGGCAUGAGACUGAUGCGGGUUUCCCCGGGUGUCCGGGCCUCUCCAAACUGGGAGAUCUGGCCGGAGGUGCCCACCGGGGGGGGGGGGCGACCCAGGACUGUGCUCGGUCACCCACGAUGCCCACGUACCGGAUCCGCGGCUCGCACCGCCCAGCGUGUAGCCAGCCUGCGGCGCGCUUCCGGGUAGGACACGUGACCCAGCCACAUGACCCGGGCCUGCUUUGUGGGUUCGAGCCCCGCCCCGUUAGGCAUUGCUUACCCUUCAGGCAACUGUGCUUGCUGGUCACCCGCCGCUAGGGAGCGGUGCCACAUUCACCCUGGCAUAAGUAGGUAUCUCACUGCCUUUAGAGGCACCUGCUGAGUGCGGUGACAUUUCUAGAGGCUCUUUUGCUUGAUUUAGCUAAAGGGAUUCCCCACAGAUUUACAGAAGGGGCAACUGAGAACCCCGAGGGAACCCCCUUCCUGAAGAAGGAACAAA
ensembl:processed_transcript